UACGUAGGGUGCGAGCGUUAAUCGGAAUUACUGGGCGUAAAGCGUGCGCAGGCGGUUAUGUAAGACAGUUGUGAAAUCCCCGGGCUCAACCUGGGAAUUGCAUCUGUGACUGCAUAGCUAGAGUACGGUAGAGGGGGAUGGAAUUCCGCGUGUAGCAGUGAAAUGCGUAGAUAUGCGGAGGAACACCGAUGGCGAAGGCAAUCCCCCUGGACCUGUACUGACGCUCAUGCACGAAAGGCGUGGGGAGCAAACGAGG
rnacentral:rRNA from 1 species